rnacentral:other from 2 species
UCUCCCCUGCAAUGUUUGUGCUUUAGUAGGGUUUUUAGAACCAACAUUCUAAAACAGGGGCUUUCCCUGACUAGCGGCCGGCAUGUCCCCCAGCGGGAACGUCGAAAGCAAGUAAACUAAGGCCCCACCUGUUUCGACAGGUUCAAAAUACUACUGACACGGCAUAUCGCGGGGGAGGA